UCUUCAUUUCGCCCACUCUCUCGCCCGCUGAACUGGCGAGAGAGUGUGUGAAAUGAAGAGA
rnacentral:pre_miRNA from 1 species